CCCACUACCUUUCCCGUUGCCUGGAAAUUUUCUAUGCAGAUUUCAAAAUUUCGGACGAACGUUAAGUGAACUUUCCGAAUUUCUUCCAAACCGUACAAGCGAUCCACUACGGCAUUUAGAAUCUGCGAGCAUCACAUAUUCAUCUGAACUAGGAGUGAAAUGCAGACGCAUGAACCUUAUUCGCUGGCGUUAUUACAGCGUCGAAAAACCCUUAUUU
rnacentral:lncRNA from 1 species